rnacentral:lncRNA from 1 species
GUUUGUUUUGUUCAAAACAUAGUUGUUCAUUUUAUGGAAUUGCAUAUGGCUAUUUGAUUUUAAACAUAUUUUAUUCAUUAAGAUAUGAAAAGGAUUGAGCAACAGGCACAGCCUAUAAAAGCUCUCUCUGCAUAUGGCUAUCAUACCAUUGAGAGGUUAAGCUAGCUAUAAAACCAGGUUUAUUCCACCAUAUCUACAUAAUAACAUGCCUGAACCAAGUCAAAAAUAUGACAGUUAUGAUCGAUUUGUUUUGGUGUGUUUGAACUCUUGAUUUUGCCAUUCGGUAAGUAUGAUAAAAAAAAUUGUCGGUAUUUUUGUUCUUCAUCUUUGUUUUGUAAACGAUGAACACAAUGACGUUUACAAUGAUUAAGCCCAG